GACGAACGCUGGCGGCGUGCCUAAUACAUGCAAGUAGAACGCUGAAGGAGGAGCUUGCUUCUCUGGAUGAGUUGCGAACGGGUGAGUAACGCGUAGGUAACCUGCCUGGUAGCGGGGGAUAACUAUUGGAAACGAUAGCUAAUACCGCAUGAUAGUAGAUGUUGCAUGACAUUUGCUUAAAAGGUGCAAUUGCAUCACUACCAGAUGGACCUGCGUUGUAUUAGCUAGUUGGUGAGGUAACGGCUCACCAAGGCAACGAUACAUAGCCGACCUGAGAGGGUGAUCGGCCACACUGGGACUGAGACACGGCCCAGACUCCUACGGGAGGCAGCAGUAGGGAAUCUUCGGCAAUGGACGGAAGUCUGACCGAGCAACGCCGCGUGAGUGAAGAAGGUUUUCGGAUCGUAAAGCUCUGUUGUAAGAGAAGAACGAGUGUGAGAGUGGAAAGUUCACACUGUGACGGUAUCUUACCAGAAAGGGACGGCUAACUACGUG
rnacentral:rRNA from 1 species